GCUGGCGGCAUGCCUAAGACAUGCAAGUCGAACGAAGUGGCCCAACAAAAGCUGAGUGCUUGCACAAGGCCGGCGAUGGAAUUUCCACUUAGUGGCAGACGGGUGAGUAACACGUAAGUAAUCUACCUCAAAGACUGGGAUAAUGUCUGGAAACGGACACUAAUACCGGAUAAUUCAUAUUUAGAUAACUAGAUAUGCUAAAAGAAGCGUUUGCUUCACUUUGAGAUGAGCUUGCGGCGUAUUAACUAGUUGGUGGGGUAAUGGCCUACCAAGGUGACGAUGCAUAGCCGAACUGAGAGGUUGAUCGGCCACAUUGGGACUGAGACACGGCCCAAACUCCUACGGGAGGCAGCAGUUAGGAAUAUUCGUCGAUGGGGGAAACCCUGAACGAGCAAUGCCGCGUGAGUGAUGACGGUCUUUACGAUUGUAAAACUCUGUUGUAAGGAACGAACCCUUAAGAUAGGAAAUGAUCUUAAGCUGACUGUACCUUACCAGAAAGCCCCGGCUAACUACGUGCCAGCAGCCGCGGUAAUACGUAGGGGGCGAGCGUUAUCCGGAUUUAUUGGGCGUAAAGUGUGCGUA
rnacentral:rRNA from 1 species